GCUGGGUGUGGUGGUGCACGCCUGUAAUCCCAGCUACUUGGGAGGAUGAGGCAGGAGAAUCACUUGAACCCAGGAGGCAGAGGUUGCAGUGAGCCAAGAUUGUGCCACUGCACUCCAGCCUGGGUGACAGAGUGAGACCCUGUCUCAA
ensembl:misc_RNA Metazoa_SRP Metazoan signal recognition particle RNA